rnacentral:rRNA from 1 species
AAUAGAUACCCAGGUAGUCCACGCCGUAAACGAUGAGUGCUAAGUGUUAGAGGGUUUCCGCCCUUUAGUGCUGCAGCUAACGCAUUAAGCACUCCGCCUGGGGAGUACGGCCGCAAGGCUGAAACUCAAAGGAAUUGACGGGGGCCCGCACAAGCGGUGGAGCAUGUGGUUUAAUUCGAAGCAACGCGAAGAACCUUACCAGGUCUUGACAUCCUCUGCCAACCCUAGAGAUAGGGUGUUCCCCCUUCGGGGGACAGAGUGACAGGUGGUGCAUGGUUGUCGUCAGCUCGUGUCGUGAGAUGUUGGGUUAAGUCCCGCAACGAGCGCAACCCUUGAUCUUAGUUGCCAGCAUUUAGUUGGGCACUCUAAGGUGACUGCCGGUGACAAACCGGAGGAAGGUGGGGAUGACGUCAAAUCAUCAUGCCCCUUAUGACCUGGGCUACACACGUGCUACAAUGGAUGGUACAAAGAGCUGCGAACCCGCGAGGGUAAGCCAAUCUCAUAAAGCCAUUCUCAGUUCGGAUUGUAGG